GGGCUGUUCGCCCAUUAAAGCGGUACGCGAGCUGGGUUCAGAACGUCGUGAGACAGUUCGGUCCCUAUCCGUCGUGGGCGUAGGAAAUUUGAGAGGAGCUGUCCUUAGUACGAGAGGACCGGGAUGGACACACCGCUGGUGUACCAGUUGUCUUGCCAAAGGCAUCGCUGGGUAGCUAUGUGUGGACGGGAUAAGUGCUGAAAGCAUCUAAGCAUGAAGCCCCCCUCAAGAUGAGAUUUCCCAUUACGCAAGUAAGUAAGAUCCCUCAAAGACGAUGAGGUAGAUAGGUUCGAGGUGGAAGUGUGGUGACACAUGGAGCUGACGAAUACUAAUCGAUCGAGGACUUAACCAAAA
rnacentral:rRNA from 1 species